GACGAACGCUGGCGGCGCGCUUAACACAUGCAAGUCGAGCGAGAACCAGGACUUCGGUCCUGGGGACAGCGGCGAACGGGUGAGUAACACGUGGAUAACCUGCCCUCGGCACCGGGAUAGCCCGGGGAAACCCGGAUUAAUACCGGAUGGCCCUUCCGGCUCACGAGCCGGUCGGAAAAGGUAGCUUCGGCCUCCGGCCGAGGAUGGGUCCGCGGCGGAUUAGCUUGUUGGUGGGGUAAUGGCCUACCAAGGCUCCGAUCCGUAGCUGGUCUGAGAGGACGAUCAGCCACACUGGGACUGAGACACGGCCCAGACUCCUACGGGAGGCAGCAGUGGGGAAUCUUGCGCAAUGGGCGAAAGCCUGACGCAGCGACGCCGCGUGAGGGAGGAAGGCCUUCGGGUUGUAAACCUCUUUCAGGAGGGACGAAGCUACUCGGGUGAAUAGCCCAGAGGGUGACGGUACCUCCAGAAGAAGCCCCGGCUAACUACGUGCCAGCAGCCGCCGUAACAC
rnacentral:rRNA from 1 species